AAUAAUGUUUAGAACAGUAUUUCGAGGGAUUAAGAUUUUCGUCAUUAGUAACUGGAAAAGGUUGUUUUUUAAAGCGUUUGCUAUUUUUCCUAUUUACAUUAUUUGACACAACGUUCAAUAUGUGAAAAAUCCUGAUUUAUCAAAAUACAACUUAAAAAGUCCAUUUUUUUAUAUUUUCUAAUUAAGGCAGGUUUUAGCAUCCUAUUUGGUUAGAAUAAAGCACAUGCAUUUUGAUGAAACAGUAUGUUUGUUAAUAAUUUGAAACUUAUGACGUUAACAUUAUUAAAAUAUAUAUUAUUAUAUUGGUUUCUUAUAAAGAUUUUUCUAAACUAAGAUAGAUUGUGUUUCAAAUACUAAUCGAUUGUGGACUUUUGACGAGGUAAAUACGUUGUAUAUGGACCUGUUCAGAUUAUAUUGACUGAGGACGAAGUCUAUGGAUAACGUACUGACUGAGUGAAAGUCCUUAAUUUUUACAUUACAUAUGUAAAUAAUAUAUAAGAAAAUGGCAAUUUAUAUUUUACAAAAUAAUUAUCAUGUUAUUGAAACAACCAAUAUUCUUUGACCAACUUUAUAGCUUGUUGCGUUAGCUGUUUUGUAUUCUCAGCGUCUGCAUUUAACAUUCUUGAUAUCUCCUUCUGAUAGACAUGCAAAUUUAUUUUCGUCUGCUGCGGCGCUUCCGCCAUGAUUGUUAUGUGUGACAUCAUGACGUCUUCAAUCUAAAUUAAGCAACAUAUUUUGAAAGACUAUUUUUGUGUGAGUUCCCUAUCAUAUAAACAAUGUGUUUUUACCUUAAAAGCAGCAUCCACUUUCUAAGUAAGUCUUAUUUACUUGAAUUUAAUUAACGGUUUGCAAACUUAAUUGUUUCGAUAAAUUAAGGAUGUGUUACCCAAUAGAUAAAUUUUCCCUUAGCUGUAUUUGUUAGCAAAUUUCAGAAUUUCGGAUAAACAAUUCUCUUCAACUCUGUACAUUUGUGGCCGUUGUUACUGGAUUUUUUUCAAGCGUCACCGAUGAGGGUCUUAUAGAAGAAAAACAACGCAUGUCUGGAGUAGAGAAUUUAAUUCUUGGUAAAAUGGAAUAUAAAUUGAUACUUGGAAAGAGAGUUGUGCUAUUGCACUCAGACCACAUCUUCUUCUAUAUAUAUAGUAUCAAUGGAGGUAAAUGGCUAAAACUAGAUAAAAUAAAAUACAACAACAGUACAACACCCACUUUGCCAUGGCAUUCCAAUACUAGUUGAUUUUAUUGCAUCUUAUAAUAUGCAUUUUAUUUUUAGAUCAAAAAUAUCAGUACUGCAUUUCAUCUUUCUCGGGAUUUUGGCGGUAAGUAUUUCGGUAAACUCAAAUACUGAGAAAGAUCACAUUUAAGAUGUUUCCUAACACUGAAUUUUAUCUAACUUGUUGCUUGUUGCAAAUCACUUUUUUUUUCUCAUUACCUUAAAGCAAAACUUUCAGAUCAUGUUGCUCAUUGUGAUUAUUCGCUCACUUAUCUGUAUUUUAGUUUUUGAAAACAGUACAUGCAUGCUUGAUGAAGUUACUUUUGUAAUCGUUUAGUAAUAAUUUUACUACGUAUAUUCGUCGUAUUAAAAGCAGUUUCAAUAAUAAUGAGAUUCAUUGGUAUUGCAGCUGAAUGUCAACUGUUGAAUUGCAUUCUAAUAUUGGAAUUAUAUUCAAUGUUAAAUGAGUUGCUAAGUCUUAUAAAAAUAACAAUAAAGAUGUUUAGCAUACUAAUUCUGUGAAUAACUGUAUCAAUUAUGAUCCGGGUUUUUUUUUUUUGGAAAACCAAUGUUUACGGCGAAGAAAACAUUUCAUCGAGAUUUGAUUUCGUAGUUCUGCUAUUCAGCAAGCAAGCAACUUAAAACAAACCAUUUGGGAAAGACGUGAUAGUUAAUCUGAAAACAUCUUCAACUUAAUCUUAAAGAUUUGACGUGUAUUUGUACAUUAUAUCUUUUUUUUACAAACGUGCAGUUAAAUCUAAAAGGUUGCUUUUUGGGGAUAUAAUCUUAUUGUUUUUUCUUUAUUCAGCCUUGCAAUAUAUUUAUUUUUUAAUUAUCUAUCUUAAUGAAGAUAUAUGUAUUAUUCCAGAUGUGCAACAUUGGAACACUCGGAUUAGCAAUUAAUAUUAGAUACGAUUCUGUGUUUGGAAACUCAGAUAUAGAGGCAUUGCUGUCGAAGUUCAGAAUAGCAGACCACACGUUUACCAGAGCACUCAACAUUUUUUCAAUCGUUGUUGUAACUUUUUCCUCCACAUCAAUUGCUGUUAUAAUAUUUACAUUUUUUUCCA
rnacentral:lncRNA from 1 species